rnacentral:rRNA from 1 species
CGCAGCCUACGGGGCGCAGCAGUGAGGAAUAUUGGUCAAUGGGCGGGAGCCUGAACCAGCCAAGUCGCGUGAGGGACGACGGUCCUAUGGAUUGUAAACCUCUUUUGUCGGGGAACAAAGGCGCCCACGGGUGGGCGGAUGAGUGUACCCGAAGAAAAAGCAUCGGCUAACUCCGUGCCAGCAGCCGCGGUAAUACGGAGGAUGCGAGCGUUAUCCGGAUUUAUUGGGUUUAAAGGGUGCGUAGGCGGACUGUUAAGUCAGCGGUAAAAGCCCGGGGCUCAGCCCCGGCGAGCCGUUGAAACUGG